rnacentral:piRNA from 1 species
UGGAAAGAGUGAUGUUGUGCCAUUUGUGAC